UAAAUGGCCUCUUCUGGCCUAACCUAGCAAAACUAACCACCAUGAAGAACAUCAGCAGGAGGGGAAAAUGCAAACAGGAUGAAGACAGAGACUGAGUCGGUGGACUCUGAGGCUGAAGGCCAGUAAGGACUGAAAGAUGUGUUGCAAACCUAUUGUGGGACAGCGUGUGGAAGAGUGACCAGUCUUCCUUGAAGAGCCUGUUAACGCUUCUGAAGGAGUAAAAACACUCAACAUCCAUGCCAUCAUCUGUUUUGAAAUGUACAAUGAAUUAUUUAUUGCAAUGAGUCACCAAUCUGUACAGUCGUCGCUUUCGUACUGAACAGUUGUGCCUUUAACCCAGUGUCCCCUUCCCCCAGCUACUGUCUAGCCACCAGUCAACUCCAAGCCUAUGGGAAGUGGCUUGGGUAGCAUUUCUUUCCCCCAUGCUGGCUGAGUUCACUUAACACCGUUGCACACCAGGCUCAUCUGCGCUAUCACCGUUUACGGGAUUUCCCGUUUUGAGACUGCACGCUGGAUGUGUAUCAGAGGUUCUCUGUCCAUUCAGCUGAGAUGGAUAAUUGGCGUGAUCCGUACUUCCUGGCUUCUGUGGGAUGUUUGGAAAUGAGCACGAGCGCAGUACGUCUUGUGCGAAGCCGGCCAUAGCAAGGAGUGUUUGGACAGAGCUAGUGAAGCUACCAAGGGAGAUCACGGAGCCGCACUCUCCCUGUGACUCUGACGCAGCACGGAUCACCAUCCAGAAAGUCUCUCUGUGCCCCUGACGAUCUCCUAAGGCUG
rnacentral:lncRNA from 1 species